rnacentral:rRNA from 1 species
GAUGAACGCUGGCGGCGUGCCUAAUACAUGCAAGUCGAGCGAACAGACGAGGAGCUUGCUCCUCUGACGUUAGCGGCGGACGGGUGAGUAACACGUGGAUAACCUACCUAUAAGACUGGGAUAACUUCGGGAAACCGGAGCUAAUACCGGAUCAUAUAUUGAACCGCAUGGUUCAAUAGUUAUAGACGGCUUUGCUGUCACUUAUAGAUGGUUCCGCGCUGCAUUAGCUAGUUGGUAAGGUAACGGCUUACCAAGGCAACGAUGCGUAGCCGACCUGAGAGGGUGAUCGGCCACACUGGAACUGAGACACGGUCCAGACUCCUACGGGAGGCAGCAGUAGGGAAUCUUCCGCAAUGGGCGAAAGCCUGACGGAGCAACGCCGCGUGAGUGAUGAAGGUCUUCGGAUCGUAAAACUCUGUUAUUAGGGAAGAACAAAUGUGUAAGUAACUAUGCACGUCUUGACGGUACCUAAUCAGAAAGCCACGGCUAACUACGUG